rnacentral:rRNA from 1 species
AGGUAACGCGUACGCAACUUACCUCCAAGCGAGGGAUAGCCCUGGGAAACUGGGAUUAAUACCUCAUGUGAUUAUGAUGCCGCAUGGUGUUAUAAUUAAAGUUCAGGCGCUUGGAGAUGGGCGUGCGUCCUAUUAGCUAGUUGGUGAGGUAACGGCUCACCAAGGCGACGAUAGGUAGGGGGCGUGAGAGCGUGGCCCCCCACACGGGUACUGAGACACGGACCCGACUCCUACGGGAGGCAGCAGUAAGGAAUAUUGGACAAUGGGCGCAAGCCUGAUCCAGCCAUCCCGCGUGCAGGAUGACAGCCCUACGGGUUGUAAACUGCUUUUGUUAGGGAAGAAACCCCUCGAUUUAUCGGGGGCUGACGGUACCUUUCGAAUAAGCACCGGCUAACUCCGUG